rnacentral:lncRNA from 1 species
UUUGUAGGUUAUCGUUUGAUUCAGAUUCGUGAAAAUGGCGACAAAAAGAAGCGUUGGAACAUUGAAAGAAGCUGAAUUGAAAGGAAAGAGGGUUUUCGUUAGGGUUGAUCUAAAUGUUCCUUUGGAUGAUAACUUGAAUAUCACUGAUGAUACUAGAAUCCGUGCCGCUGUUCCUACUAUUAAAUACUUGACUGGUUAUGGCGCUAAAGUUAUCCUUUCCAGUCAUCUGGUAUAAUAUCUGUCUCUAUCCGAUCCGUUUUGCGCGUUUUUGGUUUUAGAUUGUGUUAAUUUGCUGUAACAAUCCACUGAGAUAUUUUAACCAUGAGAUAAUGAUAUCUAUGGUUUUUGUUUUGAUUUAAUUUAAUUCUGUAUUUGUGGUGUGAGAUCUAUAAAACAUAUCAAUUUAAAGGUUUAUUAGUAUAAUUGUUAUGGGAUUGCCAUUUUAGUUUUGAUUUUUACUUAUUUGAUUUUUGAAGGUAUAGAUGUGAGAUAAAGAAACUAAGGAGCCCUUUGGACUGGCUUAUAUUUGAUCUUAUGAAAAUUAGCUUAUGAAUAAUAUAUAAAAGCUUAUUUAUUUGCAUAAGCUGUUUUGCAUAAGCUCAAAAAGCCAAUCCAAACUGGUCUUAAGUGUGAUAUUAGGGACCAGUGAGUAGAGCCGUAUAAAAUGGCCGGGCUGGCCCAUGGCCCAGACAGAUCGGGCCGGUCUCUCGAAUACAUGCUCAAUUUCAAAUGGGCUGGACCCGGCCUAGCCCAUUUAUGUAGUUGGGCCUCUCGGGCCUGACCGGGCACCUCUACUAGUGAGUGGUUGUAGUAACUUGAAGUUUGUUCAAUAUGAGUAUUGUAAGCGGUAGAGUUACUUGCUGCUAUGAUCCACUGAUAUUUGAUAUUUGACAUUUGUUGUCCAAAAAGAAUAAUAAUAGUAACCGUGUAAGCAAUGUCAUAUAUGUAUUUGUGGAUUAAGUGACUGAUUUUGAUAUCCUGGUUGUUGUGAAAUGUUUUUUGUUUGUUUGUUUGUUUUACUUUGCUGUGAUUUAUUAAUAUAGUAUUUGAAUGAGAUUUGUAAAAAAUAUCAAUCUGAAGAUAUAUUAUAUGGUUAUGGGGUUGCCAUUUUAGUUUUGUAUGUUUUGAUUUUCUGAUGAAGAGUUUGAGAAACUACGAGUGUUAGAGAAGUGUGAUAUAGUGGACUAUUGAGUGAUGGUAGUAACUUGAAGUUUUUUCUUGAAUCUUGUUUUCAGGGACGUCCAAAGGGUGUAACACCUAAGUACAGUUUGAAGCCUCUUGUGCCAAGGUUGUCUGAACUUCUUGGAACUCAGGUGUGUCUACUAAACUUUUCUGUUUUAGUUUGGCAUUACGUUCAAUCAUUCUUAUUUGAUUGUUUCCUUUGUGUAAUAAGUUAAUAAUCCUGUUGAUUUCACUUGAUUAUAGGUUAAGAUUGCUGAUGACAGUAUUGGUGAGGAAGUUGAGAAGUUGGUUGCACAAAUUCCAGAAGGUGGUGUUUUGCUUCUAGAGAAUGUGAGGUUCCACAAGGAAGAAGAGAAGAAUGAUCCUGAAUUCGCAAAGAAGUUGGCUUCCCUUGCUGAUCUUUACGUGAAUGAUGCUUUUGGCACUGCCCAUAGAGCUCAUGCUUCUACAGAAGGUGUCGCUAAAUACUUGAAGCCCUCUGUUGCAGGAUUCCUUAUGCAGAAGGUAUGUAGGGAGUAAUUGCAAUUUCGUUAUAUAAUUGGCAGUGUUGUUAAAUAGCGACUAUAGCGGUGUUAUAGUUUAGCGGAAUUAAAAAAUUAUUGCUAAUUGUUCUGGGAUAUGAUAUUUCGUACAAAAUAAUGUCUAAUAGCGGCUAUAGCAAUGCUGUGGCACGUAAUUUGAACAGACCGUGAUCUGCGAAUGACAACACUGAUAUAUUUGUUGAUUAAUGUAGUUGAUUGAUCUGUUGUAAUGUUCAAUUGUUUCAGGAGCUUGACUAUCUCGUUGGAGCCGUGUCUAACCCCAAGAAACCAUUUGCUGCUAUUGUUGGUGGUUCAAAGGUGUCUUCCAAGAUUGGAGUUAUUGAAUCCUUGUUGGAGAAAGUUGACAUUCUCUUGCUUGGUGGAGGUAUGAUUUUUACCUUUUACAAGGCUCAGGGUUAUGCCGUUGGGUCCUCUCUUGUGGAGGAAGACAAGCUCGAUCUUGCAACUACACUUAUUGAAAAAGCCAAGGCGAAAGGAGUUUCCCUUUUGCUUCCAACUGAUGUGGUCAUCGCUGACAAGUUUGCUGCUGAUGCUAAUGACAAGGUAUUAUGUUUUUCGUGUGAGUUGGGUUUAGCAUUACAACACUUUUCUUUCAUUGUGAGAACUCUCUUGAAACAAAAGUUCAAUUGAGGACAGGGGUACAAUAAUGUGUUUGCAACCAUGUAAAACAUAUGGAUUGGGAAUUUUAUGGAUGCUCUGCUAUGUUGUCAAAUUGCGGCUAUUGUGGAAUGUGUAGUUAUCACUAUUGUUCCAUGAUAUGUUAUUUAGUACAAAGUGUUGUCCAACAGUGGCUAUUGCAGCACUAUAGUCUUAUAGUGUUUCAGGGUAGCUGAAUUUGAUUAAACCUCAAUUUUCCACGAUCCACGAUUAACAACAUUGAUGCUCUUACAAUUUUACCAUUUAGGAAAUCCUACUUGCAAUGACUAUUACCCUAGCUGUACAAUCAUAUUUUCAUAAUAGUGUUUAGAAUGUUGAUACAUAUACUUAAGCUUUGUUUAUUUGUGCUCAGAUUGUGCCAGCAUCAAGCAUCCCUGAUGGAUGGAUGGGAUUGGAUAUUGGACCUGAUUCCAUCAAAACCUUCAAUGAAGCAUUGGACAAGAGUCAGACCAUCAUAUGGAAUGGACCAAUGGGUGUUUUUGAGUUUGAUAAGUUUGCAGCAGGAACAGAGGUAUGUAUGAAUGAUUUGGAUUUUUUGACAGGGAAAUACAUGAAUUGGUCCUUUGACAAUUUAAAUAAUCCUGCAGAAACCAUGUUUUAGGAAACAACUGAAAUAUUGAAAAACCCGUAAUGAAUUGGUGAACCCAUGAAUUGGUCCUUUGAUUUUCUUUUUAUUUACACAUGCAAACACACCCACCGCCCAACUCCCACCCACACACAUAUGUAAGGAGUGACUUUGGUAAGAUCAUUCGGUUAUUAUGAGAUAACUAAGACGAGACAUUAAAGAUAAAACCUUGGAACUAUUUUUUUUAAUUGAUUGGUUCAAUUGGCAUGUACUUCUGUUUAAGUUCUUUUUAUUGUUUUGAUGUUGUAAUUGAUGAUUAUUCUCUUUUAUUUUCUGUGCAGGCCAUUGCCAAGAAAUUGGCAGAGGUAAGUGGCAAGGGAGUAACAACCAUCAUUGGAGGUGGCGACUCUGUAGCAGCUGUUGAGAAGGUUGGACUAGCAGACAAGAUGAGUCACAUAUCUACAGGUGGAGGUGCCAGCUUAGAGCUUCUUGAGGGGAAGCCACUCCCCGGAGUCCUUGCUCUUGAUGAUGCUUAAACACUUUGUAUUUUGUGCAUUAUAAUGGUUGGGUUUCAACCAAUGUUGGAUUGAGGUUACGCUAGAGCUGCUCUUGUAGAGGCUUAAUAUAGGGUAGAUUCCAAAAUAAAAAAGGUUUUUGCGGCAUUUAUGGUGCUUGAUCAAAUUGUUCCUGAACAAUUUCAUUUUGAAAGGAGUUUGCUUAUUUAGCUUUUGCUUCUAAUUUUAGUUAGUGUGGUAUUGUAUGCAUUUUGAUUUAAUGUGAUCCUAAAGGGUUGGUUUAAGAAUGGCUGCAUUUUUCAGCUGCAAAUUUUCAAUACAGUAACCAAUAACCAUACUGGUUCUGUUGCAAUCAUUUGACAUUGAGAUUGUUUCCAGGGAACAAAUCAACAUGAUUGCGUUUGCAUAAUCAUCCUACGUCCAACAACUAUAGUAGUUUUUAAAUUUUACAAGUGAAACACAAUUGCAUUAAGAAACAGAGGUAGCAAUUACAGUAGAAUAGUUUGAGUGUUAGACUGAGUUGUCCCAACCCCCAACCAUGUUCUACUACCAGUACCGGCCAGUAUUGACAAUUUAACUAAACUAUGAGCUACAACAUAUAAAUCACGUUUAACAAACACAACACUUGAGCUUUGAAGUUCUAAAACCAUCUCUUUGAAAUCAAUGGCAGCCACAGGAGAUUUUGAGUUGAUCCAGUUAUCAACAACAUCAGCGUCAAAGAAAGUAGUUACUUUUUGCCAACCUGCAAUCUCCAUCUAUAGUUCCCAGCGCUUCUGCAAUAGCUUCAAUAGGAUCAGUUUCUGUGCAUUCUCUCUUCAAUCGCUUUAAGUUCAUUACAAAGUUGAUGUUCUCAAUUUAAGUUCGUUACAAAGUUAAAAAAGUUAAAAAAGUGUUAUAUACGCUCAUUUGAUUAUAUACGCUCUAUAUGCAUGCAGUGUGUUUGUUUGUCCCACUAAUUUUAUCAUCCAUACUAUGAGUUGAAGAUUCUUGAUAGUCAAAAAGAUUGUCAUGUGGUAGUAAUUGCAGUUGCAUAUACUCCUAUGCUUUGAUAUUGAGGUUGCAUUUGUCAAUUGCAAACCUUGAUCCCUUUCGUCCAACUUAAAAGCAUGCAAUGAAUACAACUUCAAAUGUAUUCCUAUUGACAAUAGUCAUCGAGAUUGGACAGCAGCGAAGCCAGAGAAAUUUUUACAAUGGGUCAAAUAUAAUGAAUUUUUUUUAGGCAAAGAAAAUUAUCUUUUUAAAAUAUUAUAUAUACAUUAAACUUUAAAAGUUAAAUAUAUUUAAUCUCUAUAAAAUUAGGCUUCGAGAACACUACCAAAAUAAAAAAAUCUAGAUUUUGAGAAGUCAAAUAUAUUCUUAAUUGAAUACUUACCUAAUUAGACUAACAAUUUUUCUUUUUCCAACGUUGACAAAUACGCUAUUUGAAUUAAACUAUCAUCCAUUAUGUUCGACUAUUGAUAAGUUUUUCCGCUAAAAAAUGUUCUUUUUAUAGGUGUCGUAGAGACCAAAAUGUCAAAAUAAAACAACCAAGUUUAUUAAUCAAUUAAUAAUUUUUUAACCUUCUAAUUUAUGCUGAAUUUAUAAGUUUGUUAAAGAUAUUUUUUUUUUUUGAAGAGACUAAAAUGGAAUAUAUUACCAAAUUAAAGUGUCCUUUCUAGUGCAAUGUGUACUAAGGAAGAAACAACAAAGUCCAAACAAUAUUUACAAGAGAAUCUGAUCAAUAAUAUAAAACAAGAACAUAAAUAACUAUUAGCCUAUGCCCAGUACGGUGAACAGAUUAAGCCACCAACCAUGAAGAUUGAAGGGAAGAGUAGCAAAUUUCGCCUUUAACCACGUAAAAGCGAGCGACUUAAUCUUAUCAACCACCUGAAUUACCAAGCAUGUUUUGUCUGUAAAUAAUCUGUUAUUUCUUUCUUUCCAGAUUUCUCAGAUGGUAGAAAACCAUAUAACCUGUAAAAUUGACCGACGAACUUUUGUUGGACCACCACUAUAACUGAAUUGAAUAGAAUGAUCCAGCAUAUACUGAGGGACAACCGCAGAAAUGCCCAACCAUCUAUAAAUUAAAUGGCAGACAAACCCAAAAAAAUUACAAUGUAAUAACAAGUGAGCGGACAUUCAACCGAACUGCACCCUGUCACACACCCCAUGGAAUUAUGGUUAAGAACAUCGCGACGAAAAAGAUUGUCCUUAGUAGGCAACCUAUCUCGAAACAACCACCAAGCAAGCAACGCAACUUUCAAAGGAACAUCCUUAUGCCAGAGAGAUGAAACGGGCACCGAUGUAGCAAUAGGAGGUUGCACGUUAAAAAAUUGUAGACACUACAAACAAAAAAUGAUUGAGAAGUUUCCAAUGUCCAUAGCCAUCUAUCAUCCUUAAUAACCUGCAAAGUAGCAGUAUGAAGCGGUAACAUAAGUUCCCCCACCAACUCCUCCUCCCACGCAAACAACCUCCACGCCCCUCCCCCCUCCCUCAAAGAUAGUUAAAAAUAUAUUAUUGGGUAGCUAGUUAUAAAAAUAUACUUAGUAAUUCAAUAGAAAUAAAAUUUUUAGAGUAGCCAAAGCUACCCCAUCAUAUCAAAUGGAUUCACACCCUUGUUCAAAAAUAUAUCAAAAGGAUUCACCUUUGAUUGUCUGAUUAGACUUGGUCAAUUUGCGAUUUACAUAAUUUAUGUAGGGUUAAAUGUGUUUUUGGUUCUUAUAUAUAUAUAUAUAUAUAUAUAUAUAUAUAUAUAUCAACUUUUUCAUAUUUGUUCCUUUAAAAAUUUUCUUCAACUUUUUAGUCAGAGUUUUCCAUCUUCACUCUUCAACUUUUUGGUCAGAGUUUUCUUCAACUCUUGUGUAAUUUUUUAAUGGUGUUUUACCCUUUUUUUUUUACAGAGAGUAAAUAAAAAAAAAUAUUUUACAGGGGAAAACAAAAAAUGACCUGUAUUAAGGGAUAAAACAUCAUUAACCAUUUUUUUUACAAUAUAAUGAGAAUCUUUAAAACAAAAAUCAGAAUUUUUUAACAUAAUAUUUUACUGUUUAUUCAUAUUCGUGAAAAUGGCGACAAAAAGAAGCGUGGGAACAUUGAAGGAAGGUGAAUUGAAAGGAAAGAGGGUUUUCGUUAGGGUUGAUCUAAACGUUCCUUUGGAUGAUAAUUUGAAUAUCACUGAUGAUACUAGAAUCCGUGCUGCUGUUCCUACUAUCAAAUACUUGACUGGUUAUGGCGCUAAAGUCAUCCUUUCCAGUCACCUGGUAUAACAUCUGUCUCUAUCCGAUCCGUUUCGCGUGUUUUUGGUUUUAGAUUGUGUUAAUUUGCUGUAAUAAUAUAUAAAAGCUUAUUUAUUUGCAUAAGCUGUCUUGCAUAAUCUCAACAAGCCAAUCCAAAUGGGUCCUAAGUGUGAUAACACGGCUACUCUUUUAAGUAUUUAUAUUUCUUAUUCUUUUAUUAUUCUUUUUUUAAAGGAAAUAUAUAAGACAGAAGUAUCGGUG